GAAUAACAUGGACAGGCGUUUUUAAGCUGUAAAAAACGCUCAGGAAAGUGGCUGUAAAAACGUCAGUGGAAAUUGAGCCUUAUAGUUUUGUAAACGGACACUAAUACCUACGUAGAUGCCUCACAUAGAAUACAAUCUCACUUCAGGGCUGUGUUACUUAUAUCUCUACAUGGGACCAAUAUGGCAGUCCCUUUUAAUAUAUACAAAUAUGAAUAGAAAUAUAAAAAAAUGUUGUAGGUUAGAACAAAGUGACAGUGUCCCUAUAAGUAAUUUUAGGAUGCACUGGGGUUGAUUUACUUAAACUGGAGAGUGCAAAAUCUGGUGCAGCUCUGCAUAGAAACCAAUCAGCUUCCAGGUUUUUGUCAUUCCCCAGCGCCCUCGCAUUUCAUUGAGAACGAUAAGUCAAUAGUUGUAGUUCAUUCACAGAACUCUGUGAAUGAACGACAUGGGCGGAAACCAGCACAGCCACAAUGUUUUUUUUAAAUUGCGUCAGUAGAUGCAGGGAGAAGAUCCCCCGACCUGCUGUCCCAGGGAGGGGGGGGAUCAGAGGGAGAGGAUACAGAAGCUGGAACUUGUCCACCCUAAAUAGGAAAGGUAAACUUAUCCAUGAAAUUCGCUGAUCGGCUACCAUUCAGAGCUGCAUCAGAUUUUUCAUUCUCCAGUUUUAGUAAAUCAACGCCAAAGUUUUGCAGUAGAAGUAUUUGGCGUUUUUCAGUGUCGGCUUACUCUUUCAACCCAUAAAGCUUAUCACCGACACCAGUAUGUCCUUGUAAAACUGGCUAUUUGAUAUAAUGUCAUUUUGACCCCCAGUGGGUGACCCUUGCUUUUAGAGUUCCAAAAGAGUUUUGAUAUUCAGUCUAGGUAGGUACUUAACCUGAAUCUAAAUGUUUGUUCAUACUUUAUUUUUUUUCUAGACAGUUUUUUUUUUUAGAUAAUGUAGGGAAAAAAUUAGAACUUUGUCUUUUUUUUCUGUUUGUGAACCCACUUGGCAGAUUUUUCGUCACUUCCUGUGAUACUUGUACAAGAAGUAGAGGGUGUAUUCAUCACAGGACUGUAAGGCACAGGAACAGAGAUUUACCAAAAUUGGAUAGUACAAGAUCUGGUGCAGCUGCGCGUUGUAGCCAAUCGGCUUCUAACUUCAGCUUUGACAAAAAAACUGAAAGCUGAUUAGUUUCUAUGCAGGGCUGCGCCGGAUUAUGCAUUCUCCACUUUUAAACAUACGCUUGCUAGUAAAUAUAAUGCUGUGCACUGCAGUUGCUUGUAUAAUGAGAAUGAUGUCUUGAGUGCCUUAGUGUUUAUUUAAAAUGCCAAUGCUCUUUAUCUGGCGAAGAGGUCUUAACUGAUACAUUAAGUACCACUUAAUGGAUGAAAAUGUUCCAAGAUACCCAGAAGUUUAUUAAAGGAUAUAUGCUGCUAGCGCAUACUGUACUAUAUAAUGUAUAACAAGGCUUCCCGUUCAAACAACUUGAUGUUUCCCAAUCCAGUGACAAAAGAAGGUUGUGAAGGGAAUCCAAUAAUUCAUUUAUAUGUAACUAUGGACAUUUUAAGAAAUAUAUAUUGUUAGUAGAUGGAAACCUUUUUUAAGGAAAAAAAUAUGUUUUAGCGUCUUUACUAUUUUAACCGAAUAAAACACAUGCCUUGUCAUCUUUAACUAAA